UACAGAGGGGGCAAGCGUUAUUCGGAAUUAUUGGGCGUAAAGGGCGCGUAGGCGGCUUGGCAAGUGGAUGGUGAAAUCCCUCGGCUUAACCGAGGAACUGCCGUCCAAACUGCUUCGCUUGAGACCGGGAGAGGUGAGUGGAAUUCCCAGUGUAGCGGUGGAAUGCGUAGAUAUUGGGAGGAACACCAGUGGCGAAGGCGGCUCACUGGACCGGUACUGACGCUGAUGCGCGAAAGCGUGGGGAGCAAACGGG
rnacentral:rRNA from 1 species